ensembl:lncRNA
CUCACUUUGGAGGCUUUGGUCAUCAUGUGACGGCCACAACACCCGCCGAGGGCCGAGGGCCGAGGUGCUGAGGGCCGAGGUGCUGAGGGCCGAGGGCCGAGGUGCUGAGGGCCGAGGUGAUGAGGGCUGAGGGACGAGGGCCGAGGGCCGAGGUGCUGAGGGCCGAGGUGCUGAGGGCCAAGGUGCUGAGGGCCGAGGUGCUGAGGGCCGAGGUGCUGAGGGCCGAGGGCCGAGGUGCUGAGGGCCGAGGGACCAGGGCCGAGGGACCAGGGCCGAGGCGCUGAGGGCCUCUGUAGGCCCCAAGGUGUAGGGGCUCCCCCCUCCAGGUGUCGGGCCCCCAGGUGUAGGGCCCCCCCAACCCCCAUGUAUAGGGCCCCCAGGUGUAGGGGCCCCAGGUCAGGACACUAAAGGCUGUGGCUG